AUUGAACGCUGGCGGCAGGCCUAACACAUGCAAGUCGAACGAGUGGCGGACGGGUGAGUAAUGUCUGGGAAACUGCCUGAUGGAGGGGGAUAACUACUGGAAACGGUAGCUAAUACCGCAUACCCUCAGAUGUGCCCAGAUGGGAUUAGCUAGUUGGUGGGGUAACGGCUCACCAAGACGACGCACCCUAGCUAGUCUGAGAGGAUGACCAGCCACACUGGAACUGAGACACGGUCCAGACUCCUACGGGAGGCAGCAGUGGGGAAUAUUGCACAAGGGGCGCAAGCCUGAUGCAGUCAUGCCGCAUGUAUGAAGAAGGCCGUCGGGUUGUAAAGUACUGUCAGCGGGGAGGCGUUACCCGCAGAAGAAGCACCGGCUAACUCCGUGCCAGCAGCCGCGGUAAUUC
rnacentral:rRNA from 1 species